UACAGAGGGUGCGAGCGUUGUUCGGAAUUAUUGGGCGUAAAGCGCAUGUAGGCGGCUCUGCAAGUCGCGUGUGAAAGCUCCAGGCUCAACCUGGAAAGUGCGCGACGAAACUGUGAGGCUUGAGUGCCGGGGAGGGUGGGCGGAAUUCCCGGUGUAGAGGUGAAAUUCGUAGAUAUCGGGAGGAACACCAGGAGGCGAAGGCGGCCACCUGGACGAACA
rnacentral:rRNA from 1 species